AUCGUUCAUCUCAUUUGAGACGGAAGUAGGUAAUGGUUUACCGAAGGAACGCGUU
rnacentral:ncRNA from 10 species